UGUGGCUCAAUGGCAUUGGUAGAAUGUCUGCUUGGCUUGCAGAAAGUCCAUGGUUCAAUCCCUGGCAUCUCAA
rnacentral:tRNA from 1 species